rnacentral:rRNA from 1 species
CAGCGGCCCUAGUGGGGAUCAUAUUUAUUGGGCCUAAAGCGUCCGUAGCUGGUUGGAUAAAUCUCUUGUGAAAUCGUGGAGCUUAACUUCACGGCAUGCAGGGGACACUAUUCGACUAGGAACCGGGAGAAGUAAGAGGUAUUCUGGGGGGAGCGGUAAAAUGCUAUAAUCCUCGGAGGACCACCGAUAGCGAAGGCAUCUUGCUAGAACGGAUUCGACAGUGAGGGACGAAAGCCAGGGGAGCGAACCGGAUUAGAUACCCGAGUAGUCC